UACGUAGGCAGCGAGCGUUGUUCGGAGUUAUUGGGCGUAAAGGGUGUGUAGGCGGUUGCUUAAGUUUGGUGUGAAAUCUCCCGGCUCAACUGGGAGGGUGCGCCGAAUACUGAGUGACUCGAGUGCGGGAGAGGAGAGUGGAAUUCCUGGUGUAGCGGUGAAAUGCGUAGAUAUCAGGAGGAACACCGGUGGUGUAGACGGCUCUCUGGACCGUAACUGACGCUGAGACACGAAAGCGUGGGUAGCAAACAGG
rnacentral:rRNA from 1 species